UACAGAGGUCUCAAGCGUUGUUCGGAUUCAUUGGGCGUAAAGGGUGCGUAGGUGGCGCGGUAAGUCGGGUGUGAAAUUUCGGAGCUUAACUCCGAAACUGCAUUCGAUACUGCCGUGCUUGAGGACUGGAGAGGAGACUGGAAUUUACGGUGUAGCAGUGAAAUGCGUAGAUAUCGUAAGGAAGACCAGUGGCGAAGGCGGGUCUCUGGACAGUUCCUGACGCUGAGGCACGAAGGCCAGGGGGAGCAAACGGGG
rnacentral:rRNA from 1 species